CCCCUCUCAGGGUCACACCUGGAGCGUUUUCGGGACUCUACCAGACACGGCUCCAGGAGGGAGAGUCAGGCAGAGGCCUACCCAUUCCAUUCCUAGCUUGGGCAGCGGCUAGUGAGCGGAAGGCAAUCUGCUACAAGU